rnacentral:misc_RNA from 1 species
UCACUACUUGCGUAGGCAGUCUCUCUAGAGUGCCCAGCUUAACCUGAUGGCAACUAGAGACAGGGGUCGCGCUCGUUGCGGGACUUAACCUGACACCUCACGGCACGAGCUGACGACAACCAUGCAGCACCUUGUAAAUUGUCUUGCGAAAGAUCUGUUUCCAAACCGGUCAAUCUACAUUUAAGCCUUGGUAAGGUUCCUCGCGUAUCAUCGAAUUAAACCACAUGCUCCACCGCUUGUGCGGGCCCCCGUCAAUUCCUUUGAGUUUCAUUCUUGCGACCGUACUCCCCAGGCGGUCUACUUCUCGCGUUAGCUGCGUUACUAAGGGAGUUCAUCCCCCAACAACUAGUCGCCAUCGUUUAGGGCGUGGACUAC